GGUCCCGUGGUGUAGCGGUUAUCACGUCGCCCUGUCACGGCGAAGAUCGCGGGUUCGAUUCCCGUCGGGACCGU
rnacentral:tRNA from 1 species